AGUAGUAAUGGGCUUAAAUUGAAGCAAGAGAGAUUUAGGUUAGACAUUAGGAAAAACAUUGUAACUGUACGGAUAGCUAAGCGUUAUAACAAAAUAGCUAGGGAGGAUAUGGAAUCUCCACCAUUGAAAGAUUUUAGGAACAGGUUAGACAAACACCUGUCAGGGAUGGUUUAGAUCAGUGGUGUCUC